rnacentral:rRNA from 1 species
GAGUUUGAUUCUGGCUCAGAACGAACGCGGCGGCGCGUCUUAAGCAUGCAAGUCGAACGGUAAGGGAGAGCUUGCUCUCCCCUAGAGUGGCGGACUGGUGAGUAACGCGUGGGUGACCUGCCCUGAAGAUGGGGAUAGCUAGUGGAAAUAUUAGAUAAUACCGAAUGUGCUCAUUUACAUAAAGGUAAAUGAGGAAAGGAGCUACGGCUCCGCUUCAGGAUGGGCCCGCGUCCCAUUAGCUGGUUGGUGAGGUAAAGGCCCACCAAGGCAACGAUGGGUAUCCGGCCUGAGAGGGUGAACGGACACAUUGGGACUGAGAUACGGCCCAAACUCCUACGGGAGGCAGCAGCUAAGAAUCUUCCGCAAUGGACGAAAGUCUGACGGAGCGACGCCGUGUGAAUGAAGAAGGCCGAAAGGUUGUAAAAUUCUUUUGCAGAUGAAGAAUAAACACAGGAGGGAAUGCCU